UGACCAUUCUGACCUAGAAAACCAUUUUAAAUAACACUGUUAUGUUUCCUAACAUUACUGGAACCUUCGUCGUGACGUCAUCAGCCCAGUCAAGUUGCCGGCUGUCGGCUGUCGUUUCUUACUGUGUCCAGACUUCAGUGACUAAAGAGUAAAUUGAACUGACGUCGGUAACCUUUCUACUGUUAUUUCAUCGUGGAACGGGAAUUAGGAACUUCAGCAACACCAAAAAAAUUCUGAGAUCCUGGGUUAGAACUACAAUACAGCACUAGAGCCAAGAAUGCAACUUGAAAUUUUUCAGAGCUGUAUCUCGAAGUGAUUGGGCAACAUGGCAGGUUAUGGGUAUACAGGUACCACCAUUUUACCCGAGGAGAUAAUCCCAGUCAGAAAGCUGCUGUAUGUUUCCUUUUUGUCUUCACAGUUAUUGAAUUUAACUUUGGCAGUUAUGGAGUCAGGAUAUUGUACCUGUACUUGAACUAAAGAUCUCUUGGAAAGUCUUAACAUCUGUGAAAUACAGUAGUUCCAAGAAAAACUUAGUCUCCAAGGAUUGGGUUACUAUUUUGAUUUUGUGUAUGGAGAAAGACUCUUGAUGUCAUAUACAAGGUAUUUUGAGUUGAGGUGGUUAUAUAAACUCGAGGGAUGAAGAAUUGAUUAAUGUAAAAAACUUAAAAUGUAGAAAUUUUGUUGAGCUUAAGAGAAGUUUGGACGAUUGUCAUUGUCAUGCUCUUUCAGAGAAAUGGCCGAUGGAGAACUAUAAGUCAACGAACAGCUAUCUUUUCCUGCAUAUGUAUGAACUGUGAGAAAUUACUGAUGAAGAAUUUCAAGUCGGUAAUCUGUUAAAUUCUCUUGGAGAACUCAAGUCAACGAAUCUGUACGUCAAAAAACCACUUCUGGAGACCAAUGAGUUAGUGGUUCAAUCAUCUUGAAAAAAGUUACUUUAGAAAGGAUGCUGCUGUACAUAGAUAAGAACACUCAAGAAAAAAGUUACUUUAGAAAGGAUGCUGCUGUACAUAGAUAAGAACACCCAAUGUAUAGAAUUUUUUAAAAUUUCCUUGUGGACUGAAAAUAAGGAUGAUAACUCAUAUCUUGGGGUUAAAUCGGCUUAAGUGAAAAUUUACGUGCACUAUGUGACUAUAUCUGCAGAGUAUAUGUUUUGAAAAUGAUUAUUUAGAGUCCUGGAGAAAGAUAUUCAAUUUGUCUAGAUGUAUCCUGUCCUUAUUAAUAUAUUUAGCAGGUUAAAUAAAGCUAAAAUCAGUA